rnacentral:rRNA from 1 species
UACGUAGGGUCCGAGCGUUGUCCGGAAUUAUUGGGCGUAAAGGGCUUGUAGGCGGUUUGUCGCGUCGGAAGUGAAAACUCAGGGCUUAACCCUGAGCCUGCUUCCGAUACGGGCAAACUAGAGGGAUGCAGGGGAGAACGGAAUUCCUGGUGGAGCGGUGGAAUGCGCAGAUAUCAGGAGGAACACCGGUGGCGAAGGCGGUUCUCUGGGCAUCAUCUGACGCUGAGAAGCGAAAGCGUGGGGAGCAAACAGG